ensembl:snRNA U6 U6 spliceosomal RNA
GUGCUUGCUUCAGCAGAACAUAUGCUAAAAUUGGAAUGAUAGAGAGAAGAUUACCAAGCAUGCCCCUGCAAAAGGAUGACAUGCAAAUUCAUGAAGCGUUUCAUAUUUUU